GUGGCAGUUGUUGUGCUGCUAAAAUAAUACAGCAGAAGGGCUCCAUGCCUGGAAUUUAGUGGUAUCAACAACAAUGGCAGCCAGGAUGACCAAGAAUGACUCAGGGAGAAGGGAGCUCUCCCUCCCAAAGAUACUUAUCCCAACAUGAGCAGAUAUCAGGACAGAGUUGGAGAAGGCUGGUGAUUUUCAUGUCCACCUGUGAAACCCCUUUCCUAGAAACUAAAUUGUUCCUUCCCACAACUAAUCCCUUCCAUCAACAGGAUUAUAGCAAGGAGCAACUUGUCUUCAGUUACUGGACCAGCUGUGGGCUCAUGAGCCAAACUGGACUAGCAGAGCUUUCCCUCAGCGAUUUGGAUAUGGAAUGUAAAGAGUCCACGUUCCAUUUAAUAGACAUCAGGAAAAAGCUGUUCCAUCCUCAUUAUCUGUGGAAACAGUCAUUCUCACUGGUACACUGUAUAACACAGCUUCAUGGAAGGUCCUGGAACUCCUGAACCAACCCACAGGAUGAUGGGCAUGGGGCUAACUCCGGUGGAGAACUAGGAAAAGUCACAUUUAAAGGACCCAGAUG